GUCCAAGAUAUGGUCCUCCUCCCCCCCUUUUUUUCUUGAAUUAAAUAAGGUUGUUGCCUCUGGUCUAAUAGAUGAUUACAUUUUUGCCUAUUUCAUGAUAAUCACAAUUAAAUGGAAAGCACAAUCAGAGGAGGUGAGAGAGUGAGACGGGGAACUGGUGGCAGUGCUGCUGCCUUCACUCUGGUCUAGUGCAGAAAAUGAAGAACUGAGGACAGAGAGAAGGUCUGGGAAGUAGCCUAUUGACCACCCUACCCUGGUCCUGGGGCUUACCAGAUUUGUUCAGUAAUAUCUCUUUUCUCCAUUGCUUGGCCCUGGAAUCAAAGACAAAGCAGACAACACCAAACCAGAAAUGCAUCCGAAGACACCCUCUCCCGGAGAUGACACCCAUUUCUCACAGAAUUCUGAAGGAACAUGGCUACAGCCCUUAUUGGUGAAGAGCUUCUAUUGGCUUCUAUUCAUGGGUGCACAGUCCAUGGUUCCCCUCAGAAUCAGCAAGAGCCUGAGGAAAGGAAAGCUGUUUUUUAAAAAAGAUAUUAUUUAUUUAUUCAUGAGAGACACACAGAGAGAUGCAGAGACACAGGCAGAGGGAGAAGCAGGCUCCCUGCAGGGGAGUCCAAGGUGGGACUCGAUCCUGGGACUCCGGGAUCACGCCCUGAGCCGAAGGCAGAUGCUCAACCGAAGGGAGAUGCUCAGCUGCUGA
rnacentral:lncRNA from 1 species